rnacentral:rRNA from 1 species
GAUGAACGCUAGCGGCAGGCUUAAUACAUGCAAGUCGUGGGGCAGCGCAGGUAGCAAUACUGGGCGGCGACCGGCAAACGGGUGCGGAACACGUACACAACCUUCCGAGAAGUGGGGAAUAGCCCAGAGAAAUUUGGAUUAAUACCCCGUAACAUAACGACGUGGCAUCACAUUGUUAUUAUAGCUUCGGCGCUUCUUGAUGGGUGUGCGGCUGAUUAGAUAGUUGGCGGGGUAACGGCCCACCAAGUCUACGAUCAGUAGCUGAUGUGAGAGCAUGAUCAGCCACACGGGCACUGAGACACGGGCCCGAAUCCUACGGGAGGCAGCAGUAAGGAAUAUUGGUCAAUGGACGCAAGUCUGAACCAGCCAUGCCGCGUGAAGGAUUAAGGUCCUCUGGAUUGUAAACUUCUUUUAUCUGGGACGAAAAAAGGCGAUUCUUCGUCACUUGACGGUACCAGAUGAAUAAGCACCGGCUAACUCCGUGCCAGCAGCCGCCGUAAAAC